GUUUUCCUUUUGAUUUCACAUUUUGUUCUCAGAUUACAAGGUGGCAAAGGCUACAUCUGGAAUUAAAUUUGCUUUCAAGUUAAUAGAUAGUGAUAUAGGGUUUGCCUUAUGGUAUUAGGAAGUGGCAUCAUUAGGACAAAAUGUCAAACCUUUUGGAUAUGAGUGUCCCUCCCAUGUGACUGAUUUUCUUGAAAAGCAUUUAAUGAAAUGCUUCUUCACUUUUGGAUAUCAUGUCUAGCUCUCUGAAUAGGCAACAAUCAAGUCAAAAUGAAAAGAAAAUGAGUGAGCUGUGUGGUGGAACAAAGGAAAUCAAGGAGGGGCUAUCUGUGGGCAAAAUGGAAUGGCCCCCACUGGGGAGUUCUUGGCCAGGUGGGUUGGCUCCAAAGAAUUUGUGUCCAAUACUGGGAGUAAGGGAGAACAGAGAGUUGUUGCCUCCAUUGGACUUCCUUGGACCCAUCUGGGCAGCCUGGCCGUGACCCCUGGGUAACAGGGACCGUUUCACCCCCAUAGAGGGCUUGUGGAUACUGGCAUGUGGUAGUGUGCUAAGAUUUGGCCUGAGCCCAGGGUAAGAAAGGAGGCAGGUAGCUCUUAAGAGUCCAGGGCUCCUUAUCAUCUGAAGGUGUGUUAUUAAGUAGCACAUCACUUCUGUCCCAUGAAGAGAGGAUGCUUUCAAGGAUGGAGAGGGUCCUUGAAAGACUGAAAUUUAAGCCUAGAUUGCCUAAAGCUGUUUUGGAAAAGGGAUUUUGGGAAACACUAGGUUUUGUGGGUAAUGCCUCAGUGUGGAUUAUGGAAUGUCAACCAAUAACAAAUGAAAUAUCACAAGACACAGAGAGUGGGAAUGAAGGAGAGAAGGGGAGGGACACAAAUCUAUUCCUAUCAAGAACAAUAUUUUUUGAAAUUAAAAAGCAUCGAUAAAAUGAAUAAUGAAUAAGUACAAUUAAUGGGAUAAACCAAAGCUGCACCAACAUGUUAUCCAAGAAGUGGGAAAGUGGAUGAAAUUCACCUGUUUGCCCUGAGCUUCAGAGUUCCAGGGCCCCAGCUAGUCAAAAAUUGCGCCAAGUUCAGCUAAAGGGUUGAGCAGAGAGGGCUUGUCUCAGUCCCUUGUGGGUAAGGGGACGAGGGCAUUUGCUUUUCAUGGAGCUCAAAGUAAGGAUUCAAAGUACAAGAUAGCCAAGGCUUAAGUUUGGAUCGAAUGUGUAUUACAGUGGGUGGAUAUUGGUAGUUUGGAGACAUUGUCUCUAAAGGAAGAGGGAUAUUUAGUGGACACAAUGCCCCAGGUUUCCUUGUCUUUUCAGCUUCGGGACAGAGCUUCUGUAGGGAGUAGGAACAUGUCAGUCUUAGGGGAUGUGGACUUGAUUGUUCUGGAAUGGUUUUUCUGCACAUUUUUUUUCAUUACUGGAUUUCACAUCUGGCUCUUUGCAUAGAUAAGAGUGAAUGAUGGUAAUUGUCAAUGAGGACUAACUUACAGUGCAAUAAGUGAGAAAUAUGGAGGAAAGAGGAAAUCACAACUAACUCAUCUGUAGGUUAAAUGAAAUGUGGCCAGGGUGGAGCUAUUGGCUGUUAGGUUUUGCUAGACUUUGUUGUGGAUGAAGGUUGAUGUGGAGAGAUGUGAAUCUUUCUCUGAUUUCCCCUUUCCCUAUUCUGGCCAGGGUUUCCUGGCUUCCAACCCUCUGCACUGGGAAAUCAUUUACCUGCCUAUAAUGGCUGUGGUCAUGAGGAGGUGAUGUGAUGCCUGUGAUUUUUCCUGAAUUCAGGAGAGCAAUCCAGGGUGGAAGCCCUUGGAUUAGAGAGUGGCUUAGCAUCCUGUGGUACAGCAUCAAACGUAUUCAUUUUACACAAAAGAGUAUGCUUUGGAGGAUGGAGGGGAGCUAUGACAGACUGGGGUCAACUUAGGGAUUCCUUGGCCCCAUGUUGGAAAAGGGAGUGGUGCAGGGAUCUGGAUCUGAGGGUGAUUGUGGAUAUGCUACUAUGUCAAGGCAAACAUUCACUAUGCAUGUAUCAGAAAGCAAACUGAACAUGAGAAGAAGAGAGAAAUUAGAAGACUGAAAAAAUGGAAUAAAUGAAUAAUCAGAAAUUAAGCAAAUUUGUAUAUAUUCAGAGAAAAAUGUUGUGGGGAGGGAAAGGUGAUUUUGACAUCAAAAUAAUGCUCGGUAAGUUUCUUUAUCUUUGGGAUAGUUUGGGGAGGAAUGUACUUGUUUUCCUUCAUUUUAAACUGUUAUUUCUUUGGUUGUGGGAUCAUGAAGAAACCAUCAAUGUACAAAGACCAGAAAAGGUGACUUCUUCCUUUCUUCCUGCUUCCCUUCCUUUCCUUUUUUUCUAUCCUUCCUUUAGUCUUAGCUUUUUUCUUACCUUUCUUUCUUCCUUUCUUUUUUACUUUCUUCCUGUAUGCUUUCCUUU